CUUUUAAAGGGUCCAGCCAGGACACCCGCCCUCUCGCUCCACCUGGCGUCUUGGAGUUCUGGCUUGAAACCCAGUUGAGGCCCUCAGCCUCGUGCCUGCCGCCCCGGCCCAUCCAUGUUUCCACGGUGGCAGAGGUGAUUCUGGAACCACAGGCAGAACAGCGUUUUCUUUUCCUGCUGAAGAUCGGAGCAGGUGCCCCUCCCUCCAAGUCGUGGGCGUGGGUUUGUGUCUGGAAGGACCACACAGCCCGGUUCCUCUCAUUCCUGAGCUGGCACCUCCGCCGCCCGCUCUGCACUGGGUCUCAGACACCUGCUUGUCCUGCAGCCAUCAGAGGGGAUUAAAAUUAACAGCAGCUCGGACGUGAGGGGAGACGGGCCUCAGACGCUGCCCCCGCCCAUGGUUACCCUCUCACAGCGGGAGGCUCACAAUCAAAUUCUCACAAAAGGUCACAUUUGCAAUAAGUAAAAAGGAAAUGCAGGUAAUUGGUUCUGGAGACUGUUAAUACCUCUGCGGGCCCUGAGAGGCGAUCUGAUGGAGUUGAAACCUUUUUGUUCAGUUCCAACUAAGGAGGCAUUUGUGGGUGCUUUAUUCACACCCGGAUGGGAGGACGUGGCAGCUUUGUGGCUGGCAGGCUGACUUCCCACGUUCUUGGAGCCCACGUUGAGGGGCUAGCAUUGCUCUAAUGUCUGGGUAAUUUUGAAGAAAGCUGCUGCGGGUGCACCGGGAGCCCUGUUGUGCGUCGGUGACCCCUCUGUGCUGCGAUGGCCGUGUCCUGCCUUUGGUCACACAGGGUCCCAAUGCUGAGGCUCACUCUGCAGACGCAUUACCCUCACCUGAGUCUAGAGAUGCCACCAUGGGCUUCCCCGGUGGAUUUGCUCACAAACGCUCUGGAGCUCCAUAAACCUCAUGGUUUUCUUUCAUAUGAAAAAUUCUUUUUUGUGGUUUACAGGAAGAAAAAUUCUGAUGUUCCAGAUCUUUCAGGCACAUUUUAUUGGUGAACAUUAUUCUUCACAAGAUUCAUUUAAUUUGUAAAUGGAACAAUUAAUUUCUAUCCAGAUGUUAGGAUUAAAAACAUAACUGAAGGAGAGGUCUUUUUGGCUUCAGUAAAAAUGCUUAUCAACAAAAUCCCAAUUUUAUGUAAAGAUAAAGUGCUGUGCCAGAAAAAUCAUGGCUUAUUUUCUUGCAUAUUUCUCGUCAUCAUUUCCAUUUCCAGCAUUUACUUUUUUUAUUUUAACUGAAGAGAAAAUUAAAUGCUCUACUUAAGUUUCCUCCUGUUAUUUACAAGUUGUCUUCUUCAAUCCGUGGGUGAGAUUGGCUGCAAAGUUUGAAGAAGAUAGCAAACUCUGCAAAGAGAUGAGAUUUGUGUCAUUAAAAAUAAAAGCCAC
rnacentral:lncRNA from 1 species